rnacentral:rRNA from 1 species
ACUCCUACGGGAGGCAGCAGUGGGGAAUAUUGCACAAUGGGCGCAAGCCUGAUGCAGCCAUGCCGCGUGUGUGAAGAAGGCCUUCGGGUUGUAAAGCACUUUCAGUCGUGAGGAAGGUAGUGUAGUUAAUAGCUGCAUUAUUUGUACGUUAGCGACAGAAGAAGCACCGGCUAACUCCGUGCCAGCAGCCGCGGUAAUACGGAGGGUGCGAGCGUUAAUCGGAAUUACUGGGCGUAAAGCGCAUGCAGGUGGUUUGUUAAGUCAGAUGUGAAAGCCCGGGGCUCAACCUCGGAAUAGCAUUUGAAACUGGCAGACUAGAGUACUGUAGAGGGGGUAGAAUUUCAGGUGUAGCGGUGAAAUGCGUAGAGAUCUGAAGGAAUACCGGUGGCGAAGGCGGCCCCCUGGACAGAUACUGACACUCAGAUGCGAAAGCGUGGGGAGCAAACAGGAUUAGAUACCCUGGUAGGAUAGCG